rfam:Triticum aestivum genome assembly, contig: Triticum_aestivum_CS42_TGACv1_scaffold_148784_2BS
AUUGUACUCUCUCCGUCCGGAAAUAAGUACUUGUUAUCAAAAAAGAUAAAAAAGAUAUAUAUGAACGUAUUUUAGUUUUAGAUACAUCUUUUUUCAUCAAUUUUAAUGACAACUAUUUUCGGACGGAGGGAGUACGUA